UUGAACGCUGGCGGCAUGCUUUACACAUGCAAGUCGAACGGCAGCGCGGGCUUCGGCCUGGCGGCGAGUGGCGAACGGGUGAGUAAUGCAUCGGAACGUGCCCAGUAGUGGGGGAUAGCCCGGCGAAAGCCGGAUUAAUACCGCAUUCGACCUGAGGGUGAAAGCGGGGGACCGAAAGGCCUCGCGCUAUUGGAGCGGCCGAUGUCGGAUUAGCUAGUUGGUGGGGUAAAGGCUUACCAAGGCGACGAUCCGUAGCUGGUCUGAGAGGACGACCAGCCACACUGGGACUGAGACACGGCCCAGACUCCUACGGGAGGCAGCAGUGGGGAAUUUUGGACAAUGGGGGCAACCCUGAUCCAGCCAUGCCGCGUGCGGGAAGAAGGCCUUCGGGUUGUAAACCGCUUUUGUUCGGGAAGAAAUCCUCUGGGCUAAUACCCCGGGGGGAUGACGGUACCGGAAGAAUAAGCACCGGCUAACUACGUG
rnacentral:rRNA from 1 species